rnacentral:rRNA from 1 species
AGCGAACGCUGGCGGCAGGCUUAACACAUGCAAGUCGAGCGGGCAUCUUCGGAUGUCAGCGGCAGACGGGUGCGUAACACGUGGGAACGUACCCUUCGGUUCGGAACAACUCUGGGAAACUGGAGCUAAUACCGGAUACGCCCUUAUGGGGAAAGGUUUACUGCCAAAGGAUCGGCCCGCGUCUGAUUAGCUAGUUGGUGGGGUAACGGCCUACCAAGGCGACGAUCAGUAGCUGGUCUGAGAGGAUGAUCAGCCACACUGGGACUGAGACACGGCCCAGACUCCUACGGGAGGCAGCAGUGGGGAAUAUUGGACAAUGGGCGCAAGCCUGAUCCAGCCAUGCCGCGUGAGUGAUGAAGGCCUUAGGGUUGUAAAGCUCUUUUGUCCGGGACGAUAAUGACGGUACCGGAAGAAUAAGCCCCGGCUAACUUCGUG